CGGGGGGAGCAAGCGUUGUUCGGAUUUACUGGGCGCAAAGGGCGCGUAGGCGGCCAGCACAAGUCAGUUGUGAAAUCUCCGGGCUUAACUCGGAAAGGUCAACUGAUACUGUGCGGCUAGAGUGCAGAAGGGGCAACUGGAAUUCUCGGUGUAGCGGUGAAAUGCGUAGAUAUCGAGAGGAACACCUGCGGCGAAGGCGGGUUGCUGGGCUGACACUGACGCUGAUGCGCGAAAGCCAGGGGAGCGAACGGGAUUAGAUACCCCGGUAGUCCUGGCCUUAAACGAUGGAUGCUUGGUGUCUGGAGUUUUAUAGUCUCCGGGUGCCGUAGCUAACGCGUUAAGCAUCCCGCCUGGGGAGUACGGUCGCAAGACUG
rnacentral:rRNA from 1 species